rnacentral:rRNA from 1 species
UACGUAGGGUGCGAGCGUUAAUCGGAAUUACUGGGCGUAAAGCGUGCGCAGGCGGCGCGUUAAGACAGGUGUGAAAGCCCCGAGCUUAACUUGGGAAUUGCGCUUGUGACUGGCGUGCUGGAGUGUGGCAGAGGGAGGUGGAAUUCCACGUGUAACAGUGAAAUGCGUAGAGAUGUGGAGGAACACCGAUGGCGAAGGCAGCCUCCUGGGCCAGCACUGACGCUCAUGCACGAAAGCGUGGGGAGCAA